rnacentral:rRNA from 1 species
GGAUUAAUACCGGAUAUUCUCCUUGGACCACAUGGUCCGUUGAGGAAAUGCCUUUGUGCUGUGGGAUGGGCUCGCGACUUAUCAGUUAGUUGGUGGGGUAACGGCCUACCAAGACUAUGACGAGUAGCUGGUCUGAGAGGACGAUCAGCCACACUGGAACUGAGACACGGUCCAGACUCCUACGUGAGGCAGCAGCAGGGAAUCUUGCGCAAUGGACGAAAGUCUGACGCAGCGACACCGCGUGGGGGAUGAAGGCCUUCGGGUUGUAAACCCCUUUUAGGAGGGAAGAAAUUGACGGUACCUCCAGAAAAAGGACCGGCCAACUACGUGCCAGCAGCCGCGGUAAUACGUAGGGUCCGAGCGUUAUCCGGAAUCAUUGGGCGUAAAGAGCUCGUAGGCGGUUCAGCAAGUCGGCUGUGAAAGUUCGAGGCUCAACCUCGAAAUUGCAGUCGAUACUGCUGUGACUUGAAUUCGGUAGAGGAGAAUGGAAUUCCCGGUGUAGCGGUGAAAUGCGCAGAUAUCGGGAGGAACACCAGUAGCGAAGGCGGUUCUCUGGGCCGAUAUUGACGCUGAGGAGCGAAAGCGUGGGGAGCAAACAGGAUUAGAUACCCUGGUAGUCCACGCCGUAAACGUUGGAUGCUAGGUGUGGCGGUCUACCAAUGACUGCCGUGCCGAAGCUAACGCAUUAAGCAUCCCGCCUGGGGAGUACGGCCGCAAGGCUAAAACUCAAAGGAAUUGACGGGUCCCCGCACAAGCGGCGGAGCAUGCGGCUUAAUUCGAUGCAACCCGAAGAACCUUACCUGGGUUUGACAUCACGGGAAAAGCUGUGGAAACACAGUGUCCAUUAGGGCCCGUGACAGGUGGUGCAUGGCUGUCGUCAGCUCGUGUCGUGAGAUGUUGGGUUAAGUCCCGCAACGAGCGCAACCCUUAUCCUAUGUUGCCAGCGGUUCGGCCGGGGACUCAUGGGAGACUGCCGGGGAUAACUCGGAGGAAGGUGAGGACGACGUCAAGUCAUCAUGCCCCUUAUAUCCAGGGCUGCACGCAUGCUACAAUGGCCUGUACAACGGGCAGCGAUCUCGCGAGAGUGAGCGAAUCCCUUAAAGCAGGCCCCAGUUCGGAUUGAAGUCUGCAACUCGACUUCAUGAA